rnacentral:rRNA from 1 species
GACGAACGCUGGCGGCGUGCUUAACACAUGCGAGUCGAACGGAAAGGCUCCAGCUUGCUGGAGUGCUCGAGUGGCGAACGGGUGAGUAACACGUGGGCAAUCUGCCCUGCACUCUGGGAUAAGCCUGGGAAACUGGGUCUAAUACCGGAUAGGACCUUUCUCCUCAUGGGGUUUGGUGGAAAGUUUUUCGGUGCAGGAUGAGCCCGCGGCCUAUCAGCUUGUUGGUGGGGUAAUGGCCUACCAAGGCGACGACGGGUAGCCGGCCUGAGAGGGUGAUCGGCCACAUUGGGACUGAGAUACGGCCCAGACUCCUACGGGAGGCAGCAGUGGGGAAUAUUGCACAAUGGGCGAAAGCCUGAUGCAGCGACGCCGCGUGAGGGAUGACGGCCUUCGGGUUGUAAACCUCUUUCAGUAGGGACGAAGCGCAAGUGACGGUACCUGCAGAAGAAGCACCGGCUAACUACGUG